rnacentral:misc_RNA from 1 species
GAAAUGCGAUAAGUAGUGUGAAUUGCAGAAUUCAGUGAAUCAUCGAAUCUUUGAACGCACAUUGCGCCCCUUGGUAUUCCAUGGGGCAUGCCUGUUCGAGCGUCAUUUGUACCCUCAAGCUCUGCUUGGUGUUGGGUGUUUGUCCCGUCUCCGCGCGUGGACUCGCCCCAAAGUGAUUGGCAGCCGGCGUACUGGUCCCGCAGCGCAGCACAUGUCGCAAACGAGUGCCUUGGUACGGCGGCGUCCAUAAGCCCCUCUCUCACGCUCUUGACCUCGGAUCAGGUAGGGAUACCCGCUGAACUUAAGC